CACGCUGUAAACGAUGGGUGCUAGGUGUCUCGGGUAUUGACCCCCGAGGUGCCGUAGCUAACGCGUUAAGCACCCCGCCUGGGAAGUACGGUCGCAAGACUAAAACUCAAAGGAAUUGACGGGGGCCCGCACAAGCGGUGGAGCAUGUGGUUUAAUUCGACGCAACGCGCAGAACCUUACCCGGGCUAGAAAAGUACGGAAGUCUUUAGAAAUAGAGAUGUGCUCGCAAGAGAGCCGUAAUCCAGGUGC
rnacentral:rRNA from 1 species